rnacentral:lncRNA from 1 species
GCCAACAAACUUCCAGUUUUUAUAGACAGCAUCAAAUCCACAUCCGCUCGUAUGCUCCAUCACAUAAAAUGUGUUUAAAAGAGUAACAUGGAACAGAUAUCAUGGUAUUCAAAUACAUAAUAUACAGGUACUAGCCACUUAUGACUACUUACUAUGGCUACAACUACAAACCUCUACAGCAAAUUUCGUCUCACAAAUCAGCGAACUAAUCAAUCACAAGAAUAUUGGCGGACCUGUACUGGAUCCCAGAAAUGCCAUCUUAGCGCACACAAUCAUAAGUUAAGGCCUUGUUUUGGAAUAGAUGCCUUUUUUCGUUUAUAUAAACAAAUAUUAUGUGGCGGAUUUGCCAGCAGGCGAACUUUCCUACUCUUGUGAUCGUUAGCUAUUGCAAUCCAACAUGGUCAGGUGCCAAAAGGCAAAAAAAAAAAAAAGGUGAAGCUAAAAAUAGUUAUUACUAACUUUUUAUCUUCUUGUUGCCAACAAACUUCCAGUUUGUAUAGACAGCAUCAAAUCCACAUCCGCUCGUAUGCUCCAUCACAUAAAAUGUGUUUAAAAGAGUAACAUGGAACAGAUAUCAUGGUAUUCAAAUACAUAAUAUACAGGUACUAGCCACUUAUGACUACUUACUAUGGCUACAACUACAAACCUCUACAGCAAAUUUCGUCUCACAAAUCAGCGAACUAAUCAAUCACAAGAAUAUUGGUGGAGAAUGAAUUCUCUAGCGCAAGAAAUUACAUUAGAUGCCCCAUAGGUUACUCUCAGCACCCUAACUACUUCUCAGUGUCAUCCACCAUAAUAUCAUAAAUAAGGAAAGGCUUAAUUACAAAAGUCCCUCUUGCACUUUAGGCCAUGUCAAUUUACCUCUCUAUAUUAAAAUUUGCAUAAAUUACCUAUCGGCACUUUGUCACUAUUUCAAAUAGGUCCAAAAUAUUUGUAUAACCAGUGAUUAGGUUGUAAAACUAAAACGAGUUGGAAUAUCACAUUGUUCCACAUCUAAACAUCUAUCGAAU